rnacentral:rRNA from 1 species
UACGUAGGGUGCGAGCGUUGUCCGGAAUUAUUGGGCGUAAAGAGCUCGUAGGCGGUGUGUCGCGUCGGCCGUGAAAACCUGGGGCUCAACUCUGGGCGUGCGGUCGAUACGGGCAUCACUAGAGUUCGGCAGGGGAGACUGGAAUUCCUGGUGUAGCGGUGAAAUGCGCAGAUAUCAGGAGGAACACCGGUGGCGAAGGCGGGUCUCUGGGCAUUACCUGACGCUGAGGAGCGAAAGUGUGGGGAGCGAACAGG